rnacentral:rRNA from 1 species
UUAGGCAGCAUACCACCCUGCAUCCCACAGCUGGCUUGCUUCUGAAGCUAAGCAGGGUUGGUCCUGGAUGGGAGACCAGAUGCUGCUGGAA